rnacentral:tRNA from 1 species
GGAGAGGUGGCUGAGUGGUCUAUAGCGCGGGUUUGCUAAACCCGUGACCGGGUUAACCGGUCCGCAGGUUCGAAUCCUGUCCUCUCCG